rnacentral:rRNA from 1 species
UACACUCCUACGGGAGGCAGCAGUGGGGAAUUUUGGACAAUGGGCGAAAGCCGAUCCAGCAAUGCCGCGUGAGUGAAGAAGGCCUUCGGGUUGUAAAGCUCUUUUGUCAGGGAAGAAACGGUGAAAGCUAAUAUCUUUUGCUAAUGACGGUACCUGAAGAAUAAGCACCGGCUAACUACGUGCCAGCAGCCGCGGUAAUACGUAGGGUGCAAGCGUUAAUCGGAAUUACUGGGCGUAAAGCGUGCGCAGGCGGUUUUGUAAGUCUGAUGUGAAAUCCCCGGGCUCAACCUGGGAAUUGCAUUGGAGACUGCAAGGCUAGAAUCUGGCAGAGGGGGGUAGAAUGCCACGUGUAGCAGUGAAAUGCGUAGAUAUGUGGAGGAACACCGAUGGCGAAGGCAGCCCCCUGGGUCAAGAUUGACGCUCAUGCACGAAAGCGUGGGGAGCAAACAGGAUUAGAAACCCCAGUAGUCCCA